UGGGGAAUCUUGGACAAUGGGCGCAAGCCUGAUCCAGCCAUGCCGCGUGCAGGAAGAAGGCCUUCUGGGUUGUAAACUGCUUUUUGCCGGGGGAUAAAAGGCCCCUGCGGGGGACAUUGAAGGUACCCGGUGAAUAAGCCACGGCUAACUACGUGCCAGCAGCCGCGGUAAUACGUAGGUGGCAAGCGUUGUCCGGAUUUAUUGGGUUUAAAGGGUGCGUAGGCGGCCCCGUAAGUCAGUGGUGAAAUACGGCAGCUCAACUGUCGAGGUGCCAUUGAUACUGCGGGGCUUGAGAAUGGACGAGGUAAGCGGAAUUGACGGUGUAGCGGUGAAAUGCAUAGAUAUCGUCAAGAACACCGAUAGCGAAGGCAGCUUACCAAGCUGUAACUGACACUGAGGCACGAAAGUGUGGGGAUCGAAACAGGAUUAGAUACCCAUGUAGUCCCUGAGCGGGCUGGCAAGGCGCAU
rnacentral:rRNA from 1 species